UACGAAGGGUGCAAGCGUUAAUCGGAAUUACUGGGCGUAAAGGGUGCGUAGGCGGUUGUUUAAGUCUGUCGUGAAAUCCCCGGGCUCAACCUGGGAAUGGCGAUGGAUACUGGGCAGCUAGAGUGUGUCAGAGGAUGGUGGAAUUCCCGGUGUAGCGGUGAAAUGCGUAGAGAUCGGGAGGAACAUCAGUGGCGAAGGCGGCCAUCUGGGGCAACACUGACGCUGAGGUGCGAAAGCGUGGGGAGCGAACAGG
rnacentral:rRNA from 1 species